CUUCAGUGCCUUGUCUUUGCAGUAAAGUAGUUUAGCAGAAAGUACUCCCAUAUAUGAGAUGGGAAGUCUUAACCUGCAAUUUAUAAUCUCUAUUUGGAACAUAUAAGCAGAGCAAGAAGGAAAUAAACCCAGAAACAGGACUCCAGUGUACUCAUUUCAUCAGCUAUGAAAAUUCUUUCUGAAAAGGGAGUGACAGGUGUUAAUGCAAAGGCAGAAGUAAUUAGAAGAGCCUGUGAUGCAUAUGCUAUUAAGCUCAUUUUCAGAAGACAGUAGGAUCCAAUUUAUUGGUGCAUAUGUCAUGUUUUCCUUAAGUGCCACUGGACAGUGAGGAAGAGCUCUCUGCAGUCUGAUAAACUCAAGGAAGUCAGAGCCUGAAGGUGCUGAGGAGGCUUCAGCUUCUCUGGCUUCAGCCAAAGGCAAAUUUAAAAGACAAAGUACAAGAUUUAUAUCCUCAACAUGCGAGCUCAACUUUCAGCACCACCUCAGACUGACAGCUUCAGACACCCUGCAACUGCUUCUGGCCUUCAAACUACAGGUGUAAAAUGGGAAUUGUAAAAUGAUGGUUGGCUUCCACCUCACUGCUUUUAUCUGAUUUCAUUUUUGGAUUAAGAGUUUCCUCUUUGCUGAUAUCUGUAGCCUUGCAUACACGUAUAUACUCCACAUUGCCUAUCAGUACUUGCAGAUUUAUUUCAUAAAGUAAGAUUAUUAUUAAACAUUUAAUAUCCAAUCCUAUGUUUUUUUUCAAUAUUUCAGGGUCCAUGAAACAUACCUCUGAAAAUAUAUAGAUAGAUAGAUCUCUUCUGAUUAAAGCUUCUGACUUAAACUCUGCUCAGCCUAUGUGUGUAUGGUAAUGUAAACUUAAUAUUAUGCAUUUCUUGGAAUAAAGGCAGUACCAUUGCAAAAUGUUCUUGGAUCUGUGGAAUAUGGGUGCAAAUGUUGUGCCUCUUUAAAUUGUCCUUUCAACAAGUUUUAUUUUGCAGUUACAAUUAGUGUGCACACCUUGGACUUGUUUGGUGCUUUUAGAAAUUUUUAGAUUAAGAGGUCCUCCUCAUCUUGCCAAAAAUUGCAUGUCACUUUAUCUCAGGGACAUAAAACAGAAAUUUCCCCAUCAACAGAGUCCAAAUAAACAUGUGAGCAGAUUGCUGGGCUGCAGCUCACAACAGGGAUGGCAAAGCUGUGUUACAGAGCUGUUGUGAUUGCCAGAGGAUCAAAACACUCAAGUAGAGAAGAGAAUGUGUAUAACUGACCCAGGUCACUUCAGAUGAGGAAAUCAACUGUGUGGCCAGCAUCUGUAUGUUUUUGUACUGACUCCUCUUUAUCAAUAAACACAGAGAAGGACAUCAUCAGUGCCCUUUGGGGACCAACAGGAGCUGCAGAUUUUUUGCUGUAUUUAGAUUUGUGCUCUGGAACUGGUUUGCAGCAGAGAUGCUCCUGUCGAGGUCCUGUCUACUCACAUCCAUAAUAAGACCUUACUCAGUGGAGUGUUUCACUAGAAAUAUUGAAGGUCACAUAUUAUUGUAUUUCCAGGGAAGAUUCCUUACUUUAGGGUCCAAGUCAUCAUCCUUAGAAGUUUCCUAAUGCAGAUCUUCAUGGGGAAACUUCGAUAUUAAAAAUACUGUGGCAUUUCCAAAGGUUUCACUGUAUGGAAAAGGACAAACAGUGAAUGUACAUAACUAAUGAGCACAAGUCUAAUGGUGAAUUCUCAACUGGAUUAAACAUUGGCAUAGUUAAGGGGCCAAAAAUUGAGUAGGAUAGAUUGAGGCAGUGCAAAAAGCAGGAGAACAAAUGGAAAUGCAGUGCCAAGCCUAAUCUUGCUCACAUUUUGUAUUAACGUGAUGUUCAAGAGGUGGGGACACCAAAAAAAGUGUACAAAUAAAAAAGUUACCCUAGACUGGGAGCACUGAUCGAUACUAACAAGGCAAGAAACUGGAUCAAAGCUGACCUUGAAAAAUUGCACCAGGUUUUUUUUGUUUUCCAAAUUACUUCUGAAGUCUUUUGUGGGAAUGGAAAAGGACAUGUAAACCCUGGAGAGGCAGGGAGCCUAAUUAAUGUUGGGAGUUUUAAAGUACAGACUGAAAGCCUCCAAAUACCAGCCAGAGAGGUAACAUCAAUGAAACACUUAUCUGUGUGAUGAUCCAUCACUGCUUAGAAAGCAUUGUGCUGGAUGGAUGACAGCAAAGAGGGGAAAAAGUGAGAGAAUGAAAUAUAUGGGUAAACAGCACAAACUGAGGAUGUCAGAGAGAAAAUUGUUGGAUGGGGAAACAGAAUCCUUGAGCUUUCCUAUUGAUUCCCUGAUAACUUUGCAGGUAGGAAAAAAAAGAAACAACAAAAAAAAUCUCAAUAUAACUGGUAACAGGUAGAAAUUAGAAAUGUCUGAGUAAUAUAAAAUUAAAUGAAAUAAACAGGAAAUCAAGCUGAGGCCAUCCACUGACAUGGAAAUUCUUAGUGCACAUGGUUCCAGGUUGUGCCUGUAAUUGCAGCCAGUGCUAGUUUUGGUGAUUUUUCUGUCAUUUGUUCCUGCUUUCAAAGAAGCAGGUAAGAACCACCUGUGUAUAUUAUAUUCAUCUAAAGCUGGCCAGAGGAUAAUUUGACUUUGCAACAGCUUUCCAGACAUAAAUGUUUAAAUUCAAUCUGCACUGAAAUAAAACCUAAUGCCCUGGUACAUUUUUGCAAAAUGAAUUUGGUUUGGAACUUUUCAUUUUUAAAUCAUAAUGGUUCAGUUAAAAUCUCUGAGUAAAUGAAACUUAUGUCAUAUCAGAAAUUUUAUUGUGGGACAAUGUUGAAACUGGAGUCUUGAAGGAGAAUUUUUGGGUUAUCCAACUUUUGGCAAUCACAGUCAAUGGGUUGAACAGCAUUAUGCAAAACCAAAAAAGUACUCUGUUUUCAAAGCAGACUGAGGAUUUUAUAAUUAUUCUAGUAUUUUGAAAGAAUCUUCUGAUCUCCAACGUUCCUUGUUUACCAGCCAGUUCAUUCUAUUUGUUCUUUUGUUUGUACUAACCCUUAGAUUUCCUGCUUCUGUUUUCUCAUCAAGGGUAGCACCUCUUUGUUCUGCCAACCUGCACAAGCCAGGAACUAAUAUCUCAUAAAACAGGCCGGCUGAAUUAAUAUGAAGUCACAAAAAUUAGUUACAAAUGGCAUAUUUGGACUGUGAGUGAAUUUGGAGCUCCCAGAGUUCAUUGUGUUGAAGGUUCAGCUCUUUUGUCCUCGUCCAUAAGCAAGAAACUUGUUUUCCCCGUGUCCAAGGAAAUCAGAACUAUUAAUGUCAUUAUGGGACUGUAGGACCUAUGGCACUCCUAAAAAAGACAAAUACCAGAAAUGUCAGCACACUGACAGCCUGACCUAAUGAGAACCCCCUUGAUCUGCAGAGGCUUUAGUCCAGCCUCUAACACAUGCCCUUGUGUUUAAAGGUAAUAAUCAGGCACUCAUGUAUUUCCUUGGACACUUGGCUGUGCAAAGGCAGAGCAGAGCAAAUGAUUGCCUUGAAUUCCUAUGGCUGGAUCAAAUAUUCCAUGUCCUGUGACACAAAUCAGGGAUCCAACAGGAACACGAGCUCCCAGAGCUGCUCAAAAGACCAUGUGGGAUAUAUUAAUGGUCCUGAGUUUGUGUCAGUGUCAAUGUCUCUGCCUGUAGUUUUCAGUCCUAUAUCUAGUAGAUAUUCCCCUUUUUAAAAAUAUCUAUCACUUCUUUUUUUAUCUCACUCUCUAAGCACUUUGCUGCUGGAUCUGGGGGGGGUUUAUACUAGUGUCUGCACUUCUCUAAUGUUUGGCAAACUCCAGCUCUGCCUUGUGACUGAGACAAAAUUCUGUGUUUAUUUACCACAGGUGACAGGUAAAUGUCUGUCUCACAAUGUUGUGACAUCUUUUCAGAGAUAUUUACCUGGAGAACCAGUAGGUUGCUUUCCCACCCAAAGAAGCCAUGCUUAUCUUGAAAUAUCCAUAAUGAUGGAUAUCAUUAUGAUGAUCACAUUCAUCAUUCUCAUCAUCAUCACAUGAAACCAAUAUUCCAUCCAUUUUAUAGACCUCAAGUAAAAUGUUGUUCAACUUUUAAUCUGACAUCUGAUUAUUUUGUGUCACUGAACACAAGAGUGACCUCCCAGUGACUUUAUCUGGGCAUUUUUCUGCUGGGAAGUUUUUCUUAAACCAGUUGCAAAUGCAUUCCCUAAUUUCCUGUGGUCAAUUCCUUGCCAUUACUCUUUAUUUUUUGCUGACAAUAAAAUAUUUGAAUGUUCAUCUUAAUUUGUGCUUUACAUAAUGCCUCAAUCUAGCUGCUUGGGUAAAACCAUGUUUCAAAAUAAAAAAAUUCCAGUCCCUUUCAAAGAAUAAGGAUAUUUAUAGUGAGAGAUAACAUCUUUUGUUAAGCCACAUGGUAUAACUUGAAGAAGAAGAUGAGAUCUAAGACAUGUGUGUCCUUCCUCAGUUCUGCUGUAUCUCUUCUUUGCACUGCUAAAAAUUCUCAGAAAAAUUUAAAGCAUGAUAUAGU